GAUGAACGCUGGCUACAGGCUUAACACAUGCAAGUCGAGGGGAAACGACGGGGAAGCUUGCUUCCCCGGGCGUCGACCGGCGCACGGGUGAGUAACGCGUAUCCAACCUGCCUCUGACUGAGGGAUAACCCGUCGAAAGUCGGCCUAAUACCUCAUGGUAUCGUCUGCGGGCAUCCAACGACGAUUAAAGAUUUCAUCGGUCAGGGAUGGGGAUGCGUCUGAUUAGCUUGUUGGCGGGGUAACGGCCCACCAAGGCUACGAUCAGUAGGGGUUCUGAGAGGAAGGUCCCCCACAUUGGAACUGAGACACGGUCCAAACUCCUACGGGAGGCAGCAGUGGGGAAUAUUGGUCAAUGGGCGAGAGCCUGAACCAGCCAAGUAGCGUGCAGGAAGACGGCCCUAUGGGUUGUAAACUGCUUUUAUGCGGGGAUAAAGUGAGGGACGUGUCCCUCAUUGCAGGUACCGCAUGAAUAAGGACCGGCUAAUUCCGUG
rnacentral:rRNA from 1 species